rnacentral:rRNA from 1 species
UACAGAGGUCUCAAGCGUUGUUCGGAUUUACUGGGCGUAAAGGGCGCGUAGGCGGCUUAACAAGUCACUUGUGAAAUCUCCGGGCUUAACUCGGAACGGCCAAGUGAAACUGUCAAGCUAGAGUGCAGAAGGGGCAAUCGGAAUUCUUGGUGUAGCGGUGAAAUGCGUAGAUAUCAAGAGGAACACCUGAGGUGAAGACGGGUUGCUGGGCUGACACUGACGCUGAAGCGCGAAAGCCAGGGGAGCAAACGGG